rnacentral:tRNA from 1 species
AGGGAGACCUACCCUCUUARGAUUGUGAGGAGUCAGGAGUGAGGAGUGAGGAGAAAUCCAAAGCUUCAAGUUACUGAAUCAUAAUUACAUCUUGAGAAGGUCAUCCCAAGGUCGUUCGAGAAUAAGUGUUGACUUCCAAACUAUCGACUUGGUUGGGUAAAUGGGCUAUUAGCUCAGGUGGUUAGAGCGCACCCCUGAUAAGGGUGAGGUCCCUGGUUCGAGUCCAGGAUGGCCCACCAAUACUUAUUAGCGGGGGUUUAGCUCAGUUGGUAGAGCGCCUGCUUUGCAAGCAGGAUGUCAACGGUUCGAGUCCGUUAACCUCCACUCGUCAAUUAUCCACCCAUUACUCAUUCAUCUGAAGGGCAAAAGAUUCAGCAACUCGUUUAGGUCAAACUAGAGAGCCUGCUGGAGAUUUCCAGCCAGAACCAUGAAAACUGCAUAGAAACUUGUUAGGUAGAAAGUAGCUGACGUUUACAAAGUUCUUUCGGGUGAAAACCGGAGAGUAACCUAAGAACUGUCAGAGACAAAUGAUCACAGACACCAAUGUUGAGAGUUGACUAACGUUAACUAAUCAAGUGUCAGCUAGAGA